rnacentral:rRNA from 1 species
GUGCCAGCAGCCGCGGUAAUACAGAGGUCCCAAGCGUUGUUCGGAUUCACUGGGCGUAAAGGGUGCGUAGGUGGCCGUGGAAGUUCGGUGUGAAAUCUCGGAGCUUAACUCCGAAAAGUCAUUGAAUACUCUACGGCUUGAGGGUCGGAGGGGAGACUGGAAUUCUCGGUGUAGCAGUGAAAUGCGUAGAUAUCGAGAGGAACACCAGUGGCGAAGGCGAGUCUCUGGACGACUCCUGACACUGAGGCACGAAAGCUAGGGGAGCAAACAGGAUUAGAUACCCUGGUAGUCCUAGCUGUAAACGGUGCACGUUUGCUGUGAGAGGAAUCGACCCCUUUCGUGGCGAAGCUAACGCGCUAAACGUGCCGCCUGGGGAGUACGGUCGCAAGAUUAAA